AGCAUUCUGCCUUGUGCGACCAAGCCUGAUUUGAUAUAAUCCAACAUCUGUGAAUAGGGAAUCAAGUCUCUGCGUCCAGGAUUGCAGACCUCCCGCCCAAGGCGGUUGCCAGGGAGCGAGAGCGGCGCAGGCGGGUACCCACCUGCUUCAAGCGGGUUUUAUUCCUCAGGCGACGGCAAGGCGGAGCUUGC
rnacentral:other from 1 species